UAGGUUAAAUUUAAAAGUAUGUUCUGCCCUAUGAUUUUAUUAAAUGGCUGCAGUAUAUUGACUGUGCAAAGGUAGCAUAAUAAUUAGUCUUUUAAUUGAAGGCUUGUAUGAAUGAGUGAAUGAGAAGUUUGUUUUAUUAUUUUUAUUUUUAGAAUUUAAUUUUUUAGUUAAAAAGCUUAAUUGUUUUUUGGGGACGAGAAGACCCUAUAGAAUUUUAGAUUUAUAAUUUUUGUUUAUUAUUAGUUUUUUUAAUAUAGGUAAAUUUUUAUUAAUUUUUUGUUGGGGUGAUAAAUAAAUUUAUCUUUAUUUUUUAUUUUCAUUAUUUAUGUUUGUUUUGAUCCUGUAUAAUAUACUGAUUAUAAGGAAAAUUACCUUAGGGAUAACAGCGUAAUUUUUAUGGUGAGUUCUUAUUUAUAUAAAAGUUUGCGACCUCGAUGUUGAAUUAAGAUAAUUUUAUGGAGCAG
rnacentral:rRNA from 1 species